rnacentral:sRNA from 1 species
GCAUGCUAGACACGGGGCAGACAAUCUGUUUGAGAGCUCUGCUCUUUGGGUGACAGCGCUGGAUCAGCCAGGGGCACGGAGGAGGGGCCCACCUUAAGAUGUCUCAGCUGCUGAGUCAGCACGCCCGUCAUUCUAGGUUAACCCCUGGCUUUGAACGGUCUUAGGAUACAUCACCUCUCUUUUGGGUCUCUGAGGCUCCAGAGGGCUCUUAUUAUGAAGUGGGUGUCCUUGCCUGUGGCUAACCCUGUUUAAACAAAGCCUUAUUCACAGCCUGGUGGGUCUGGAUCAGGCUUGCUGACCUCUGUCGUGGAGGAGAUCAGAGAUGGAAGGACCAGUCCAAGACGAGAAUACUGAGGUUCAGAAGGAUGGCAGCAUGUCAAAGGUCACUCUGAUGGAGCUGGAAGUCCAACGAGGGUCUGUGUGUGAAGCCAGGUCUUCUGUGAAUUGAGGAGAAGGAGGAAUUCUGCUAGCCCAGAAGUCCCAGCCGGCAAAGCCUCCAAGCUCAGGGGCUUCAGGACCGAGAACUCACACGCAGGCUUCAAAGCCGAGUCUUGCCACAGCCGUAGUCCACUCCCUAGGAAUCGGUUGCUUCCAUCUGGGCUGUGGACCGAGUCUUAAUUACAGCAUCCUGAAGACUGCAGCAUCAGCAGGAGCAGGCGCAGAAUCCAUUUAGAAUGCCCGUCCCUGCCAAGUCCGGCUGGGCAGGGAGGGGGAUGAGCCAGCCAGGGAUGGCUAAGUGGGGUGUUUUAUGGGAACCUUGUUCUUCAGCCCUCUCUGGUCUUAGGGUGAGCAAGGGUGAUGGUUACUUGAAUGGACUCUCAGAGCAGGGAGGGACAGGCCCUGGGGUCUGUGGGGAGUGUCAGCUCCAUGUGGAUGACCCCAGCUCAGUGUCUAUAUGUUGGGCUCAUGACACUGUGAUGGUACCAUGUCAGUGUCCUUGAGACCAAACCCUCCACCUUUCCGGCCCCAUCAACCUCUGGCCUGAAUUUCCUGGGAGCGGAAGCAAGAUUGGCUUCCUUAUCCAGGUUCUGCAAUCUCAGAUCCAACCCACCAGAAAUUCAUAUGCAGCUGCUACAGUGAGCUAGGCUUUAAAGACCAUCCAGGAGCUCCACGAGGAAGGCAGGACACACUGCCAUGUGUGGUCACCAUGCUGCUUCACAGAGACAUGGGUUUGUGAGCAUAGUCACCUGGAGCCAAUCCCCUGCCAGAGACCAAGGGCCGAGAAGGAUGACAACAGACAGCCGAGCCACUUCUCACAUGCAGCAUCUCCACACAGUGCUCAGAGGCCUCUGUGAAUGAUCUUUAUAAAGAGAUUGAAGAAACAAGCACGCCACAGGCGCUUUAGAAAAUUGUUCACCAGCUUCUGUCUGCCCAGCGAAUCUAUGGAAUAUUUGCCCCAGAUGAAUGAAAACAUAAGCAGACAAAAAGUCUUGUAGGGGAAACAAUCCAAAUGUCCACAUUUGGUGGGUGGAUAGAGUUGGACAUACAAUGGAAUACUAUUUAGCAAUGAAAAGGAGAAAGCAAGCCAUUGUUAUACCGAGCCAGAUUCCAUGGAUCUGAGGCUCCCAAAAAGUCAAAGAGGUUCAAUGUGGCAGAGAAGACCUGUGCUCCCCUCUGGAGGAAGAAGCACUGUAGGGAGGACAAGGACAGCUGAUCUGUGGUUCUCUCAAGGGUAUGGCGUUUGUCAGACUUAAUAGAGCUGGGGGAAGGAGGAAGUACUAACUGACAUAGUUAAUUUAUUAAUGACAUAUUAAUAAAAAUAAUAAAGUGACUACCACACAUGUGUACAUGAACACACGCACACUGGUGGACCACAGGUACAUGCACAGGUGUGCUACAUACACACACAUCCCAUAUGUACACACAUGCACACACACACACACACACACACACCAUCCAUACAAACUCACUAAAUUUGACAAGGAUCAUGUGCAACACUUUGUCUUCACCUUACAGACAAUCAAACUAGAGCUCAGAGAGGGGAAGACACCCACCUGAAAUCACCCAGCAGGUAAGUGGAUGACACAAGAUUUGAACCAGGUCAGCUGGCUCUAGAAUGUGUGCUUGCACAGCAGGGUGGCUAAGGAGGCAGAGAGGACCCCAAGUAGCUGUGGACGGACAGCAGGACUCAGCGUCUGUGUGGGUGGCAGAUACUAACCUACAAAGUAUCUGUGUGAGUAGAGCCUGCAUCUAAGUCUCCCUGAGGCUUGCAGUGUGGCGGGCUAAGCCUAUCACCAAAGACCCGGCUAACAUCACCCUGUAGGAAAGUUCAGCCUUUGCAGGUCCAUCCAGUUCUGACAUCUUCUUCACACAGGCCCUCUGGGAGGGGUUUUCAGAAUCCAGAAUCACCUCCACUAACAUUUGCCUGGAAGUGAGGUCUGUAAUCACCACACCCCUCCAGGGAAGGUGUGUUAUGCUCACCUUAGAUGUGGCCAUUAGCGACUUGGUUCCAGACACACACACACACACACACACACACACACACACACCCCUCCUGGCCAGCCACUCUGCUGUCAUUGGUCCCCAGAGAGCAGAGUGGUGGGCAAGAAACCUGAUUUGAAGGCAUUUUCUAAGAGCUUCCAUUAGCGUUUCCCACACCAGCCAGAGUAGGAUCUGGAUGGCUGCCGGGGUCAAAGGCAGCACUCUAAAGAACCCCCUGUGGUUGCUGCAGCUGGAGAGAGAAAACAGCCCACUUUAAAUAUCAAAUAAUGCUUCUUUGUUCUUCCUAUGUGGUGUGCUUACAGGUGUGCCUGUGUGCACAUAGCAGAGACUGCAUGUGAGGGCCAGAGAGUGACAUUGUAUCUUGUUUUUGUUUUGUUUUGUUUUGAGUCAGUGUCUUUCAACUGAACUGCGACCUGGGGUUACAGAUGUGUGUCCACCACACCUGGCUCUCUGUGUGGGGGGCAGGAGGCUUGGCUUCUCAUAAUGGGCAGCAAACACUUCACUAGCUGAUCUUCCUCCCCUGUUCUGGACCUCACCUCUGCCGUGCAGCGAGUGCAUCUCUAACCAUUGUGCUUCCAGGCUCCCAGCUCAGGAUGAAAUGGGGCUCCUGUCCCUUGGCCUCUCCACGGAAGCCCUUUGGAUCACUGCGUUUGAACUUCAGUCCACUUGUCUGUCAUCGCCAUGGUGACAAAGGUUCCUCACAGCUGCCUGGGAGGGCACACAGGGAAGCCUGUGUUCCUGGAAGGCUUGGGAAGGGCUGCAGUGCUGACCUGCAGGCCUCUGAAGAGUCAUUGCAACUGGAUGGCUAAAGCCUCACAGCGCCAGUCCAUCACCCGCCUUGCUGGUGGGAGCAGGAGGCAGAGCCCCAGGCCAGGACUCUGCAGCUCCUGAGGGCUUCAA